rnacentral:lncRNA from 1 species
GGAGUGACGCAGCCAACUCUUUGCCGGGAGAAAAUCUAGUCAAGAGACAGCUGCGUAAUCAUAUUGCGGCACCGUUUUUUUCUUGCAGCAGCUGCUGCUUGGGAAGGGUCCGCCCACUGCAGCUCUCUGCAGUCUCUAGCUCGCUCUUCCAAGACUGACCAUCGCCACUCUUUGCACUCAAGCCCUGGCUACGGUUGCCUCUGUCCGCUUCUCACAGCAUCAGCACAGCCUUCAUCCCGGCAGCAGCCUCCACCGUUACUCCCGCAGCCCAGACACUACUGCCCGUUCCACCUCUGCCCCAGCCACCGCCGCUUCUGCUAUUCCGGUGAUUGUGAUGUGAUCCCACAGAAUUAUAAGAUGAAAGUGGAACAAAAGCUCUUCUGCUUGUGACUUAUUCCUCCAUUAUUGAACAUGCCUCCUUCGGAUUUUGGCUCACAGAGUACCCUGUCCAGGAAGAGGAAUCCGAAGAGGAACUAGAGAAGCAUUGGUCUAUUGUAAGUAACCUUUAAUCAUGUUCUUUCAUUGCCAAAAUGGAGAUAUCUAUAUCUAUCUAUAUAUGAAUUAAUUCAUUGUCUUUAUACAACAAACACUUUAUAUUGUACUAUUUCUAUGUGCC